rnacentral:rRNA from 1 species
CCUGGCUCACGUUGAGGGCUAGCUACAGGCUUAACACAUGCAAGUCGAGGGGCUUCAGGAAGAAAGCUUGCUUUCUUUGCUGGCGACCGGCGCACGGGUGAGUAACACGUAUCCAACCUGCCCUUUACUCGGGGAUAGCCUUUCGAAAGAAAGAUUAAUACCCGAUAGUAUAAUGAUUCCGCAUGGUUUCAUUAUUAAAGGAUUCCGGUAAAGGAUGGGGAUGCGUUCCAUUAGGUUGUUGGUGAGGUAACGGCUCACCAAGCCUUCGAUGGAUAGGGGUUCUGAGAGGAAGGUCCCCCACAUUGGAACUGAGACACGGUCCAAACUCCUACGGGAGGCAGCAGUGAGGAAUAUUGGUCAAUGGGCGCGAGCCUGAACCAGCCAAGUAGCGUGAAGGAUGACUGCCCUAUGGGUUGUAAACUUCUUUUAUAUUAGAAUAAAGUGCAGUAUGUAUACUGUUUUGUAUGUAUAAUAUGAAUAAGGAUCGGCUAACUCCGUGCCAGCAGCCGCGGUAAUACGGAGGAUCCGAGCGUUAUCCGGAUUUAUUGGGUUUAAAGGGAGCGUAGGUGGACUGGUAAGUCAGUUGUGAAAGUUUGCGGCUCAACCGUAAAAUUGCAGUUGAUACUGUCAGUCUUGAGUACAGUAGAGGUGGGCGGAAUUCGUGGUGUAGCGGUGAAAUGCUUAGAUAUCACGAAGAACUCCGAUUGCGAAGGCAGCUCACUGGACUGCAACUGACACUGAUGCUCGAAAGUGUGGGUAUCAAACAGGAUUAGAUACCCUGGUAGUCCACACAGUAAACGAUGAAUACUCGCUGUUUGCGAUAUACAGUAAGCGGCCAAGCGAAAGCAUUAAGUAUUCCACCUGGGGAGUACGCCGGCAACGGUGAAACUCAAAGGAAUUGACGGGGGCCCGCACAAGCGGAGGAACAUGUGGUUUAAUUCGAUGAUACGCGAGGAACCUUACCCGGGCUUAAAUUGCAGUGGAAUGAUGUGGAAACAUGUCAGUGAGCAAUCACCGCUGUGAAGGUGCUGCAUGGUUGUCGUCAGCUCGUGCCGUGAGGUGUCGGCUUAAGUGCCAUAACGAGCGCAACCCUUAUCUUUAGUUACUAACAGGUCAUGCUGAGGACUCUAGAGAGACUGCCGUCGUAAGAUGUGAGGAAGGUGGGGAUGACGUCAAAUCAGCACGGCCCUUACGUCCGGGGCUACACACGUGUUACAAUGGGGGGUACAGAAGGCAGCUACCUGGUGACAGGAUGCUAAUCCCAAAAGCCUCUCUCAGUUCGGAUCGAAGUCUGCAACCCGACUUCGUGAAGCUGGAUUCGCUAGUAAUCGCGCAUCAGCCACGGCGCGGUGAAUACGUUCCCGGGCCUUGUACACACCGCCC